rnacentral:rRNA from 1 species
GAUGAACGCUGGCGGCGUGCCUAAUACAUGCAAGUCGAGCGAACGGACGAGAAGCUUGCUUUUCUGAUGUUAGCGGCGGACGGGUGAGUAACACGUGGAUAACCUACCUAUAAGACUGCGAUAACUUCGGGAAACCGGAGCUAAUACCGGAUAAUAUUUUGAACCGCAUGGUUCAAAAGUGAAAGACGGUCUUGCUGUCACUUAUAGAUGGAUCCGCGCUGCAUUAGCUAGUUGGUAAGGUAACGGCUUACCAAGGCAACGAUGCAUAGCCGACCUGAGAGGGUGAUCGGCCACACUGGAACUGAGACACGGUCCAGACUCCUACGGGAGGCAGCAGUAGGGAAUCUUCCGCAAUGGGCGAAAGCCUGACGGAGCAACGCCGCGUGAGUGAUGAAGGUCUUCGGAUCGUAAAACUCUGUUAUUAGGGAAGAACAUAUGUGUAAGUAACUGUGCACAUCUUGACGGUACCUAAUCAGAAAGCCACGGCUAACUACGUG